AUGAAGCAGCUCAAGCCUCGGCGAGUGGGCGCCGGGGACGAGGAGGCGGCGGCGGGGGUGGUGGUGCCGCCGGCGCCGCGCAAGGACUACUGCUGCUGGUCGUCGUGGUGCCUUUUGAAGGCCUUGACCCUGCUGCUGGUGCUCCUCACGGGCGUGCUCAUCGGCUUCGGCGCCAGCGCCAACAUCUCCCGCUACUACUACUACACCUUGUUAACGGGCACGAGCACGUCGUCUAGCUCGCCGCCGUCGCUGAUCUCGAGCAACAGCCCGACGCCGCCGUCGACGCUGGCCAUGUCGUCGGAGCAGCACAUCAGCCAGCCGUUCAUGUCGUUCGUGCACCCGGGGUCGCCGGAGGGGCACUCGAUGACGGACGCGGAGCUCUUCUGGCGCGCCUCCAUGGUGCCGCGGGUGGAGGAGUACCCGUACCAGCGGGUGCCCAAGGUGGCGUUCCUGUUCCUGACGCGCGGGCCACUGCCGUUCGCCCGGCUGUGGGAGCGCUUCUUCCGGGGGCACGAGGGGCUCUACUCGGUGUACGUGCACGCGCUGCCGGAGUACGUGCUCAACGUGUCGGCGACGUCGCCCUUCUACGGCAGGCAGAUCCCCAGCCGGGACGUGUCGUGGGGGUCCAUCACCCUCGUCGACGCCGAGAAGCGGCUGCUCGCCAACGCUCUCCUCGACCACUCCAACCAGCGGUUCGUGCUGGUGUCGGAGAGCUGCGUGCCGGUGUUCAACUUCCCGACGGUGUACGAGUACCUCAUCAACUCGGCGCACAGCUACGUGGAGUCGUACAACAUCGACGUGCCGCAGUGCGCGGGGCGGUACAACCCGCGGAUGGCCCCCGACGUGACGGAGCAGCAGUGGCGCAAGGGGUCGGAGUGGUUCGAGCUCAGCCGGGAGCUGGCGGUGGACAUCGUGGCGGACCGGCGCUACUACCACGUCUUCCGCAUGCACUGCACCCCCUCCUGCUACCCCGACGAGCACUACAUCCCGACCUACCUCCACCUCGUGCACGGGCCGCGCAACGCCAACCGGACCAUCACAUGGGUCGACUGGUCACGCGGCGGCCCGCACCCGGCCCGCUACGGCAAGGCCUCCGUCACAAAGGAGUUCAUACAGGCCAUACGCAACAACGGCACCCAGUGCCUCUACAACGGACGGCCCACCACCGUGUGCUACCUCUUCGCAAGAAAGUUCGCGCCCAGCGCGCUCGGCACGCUCAUCAACCUCACCACCACCCUACUCGACUUCUGA
rnacentral:rRNA from 1 species